rnacentral:rRNA from 1 species
ACUGGUUGAUGUCCUGCCAGUUAGUCAUAUGCUUGUCUCAAAGAUUAAGCCAUGCAUGUUGUAAGUAUGAAACUAAUUCCAGACUGUGAAACUGGAAUGGCUCAUUAAAUCAAGUUAUAGUUUGUUUGAUGGUAUCUGCUACUCCGGAUAAACCGUAAGUAAUUCUAGAGCUAAAUACGUGCCAACAAACCCCCGGACUUCUGAAGGGUGAUGCAUUUAUUAGAUAAAAAGGCGACGCGGGCUCUGCAGUUGCUCCUUGAUGAUUCAUGAUAACUCGAACGGAUCGACGGGCUCGUGCCGGCGACUGGCAUCAUUCAAUUCUGCCCUAUCAAAACUUUCGAUGGUAGGAUAGAGGCCUACCAUGGUGGUGACGGGUGACGGAAAGAUUCCGGAAGAGAGAUGAGAACGGCUACCACAUCCAAGGAAGGCAGCGGCGCGCAAAUUACCCAUCCUGACACGGGGAGAGGUGUGCAUAAUCAUCCGGGGCUCUUCGGUCUGGUUGGAAUGAGUUCUUUCCUCGAGGAUCCAUUGGAGGGCAAGUCGUGCCAAGCAUGCCGCGGUAAUUCCAGCUCCAAUAGCGUAUAUUUAAGUAUUGUUUGCAGUUAAAAAGCUCGUAGUUGGACCUGGGUUGGGUCGAACCGUCCGCCUCGCGUGUGCACGCUGUCGGCUCGUCCCUUUCCUGGCCGCGAUGCGCUCCUGGCCUUAACUGGCCGCGGUCGGCCUCCGGGCUGUUACUUUGAAGAAAAUUAGUGCUCAAAGCAAGCCUACUCUCUGGAUACUAUCAGAGUUAGCAUGGUGAUAACAUCCAUACGGAUUCGGUCCUAAUUGGUUGGCCUUCGGGAUCGGGAGUAAUUGAUUAACAGGGCAGUCGGGGGCAUUCGUAUUUCCAUAGUCAGAGGUGAAAUCUUGGAUUUAUGAAAGACGAACAACUGCGAAAGCAUUUGCCAAGGAUUGUUUUCAUUACCAGAAUUUGGGGGCUCGAAGACGAUGCAGAUACCCCGGUCCUCACGUCUCGAACCAAUAAACGAUGCCGACCAGAGGAUCGCGGAUGUUGCUUUUUAGGACUCCGCCGGCACCUUAUGAGAAAUAGUCUUUGAGGUUCAGAGGGGGAGUACAAUGGUCGGGCUGAAACAUAAAGGAAAUUGACGGGUGCGCCCACCCAAAGGUGGGACUGCGGCUACUUUGACUCCAUACAACGGGGAAACUUACCAAGGUCCAGACAUAUAAGGAUUGGACAGACCUGAGAGCUCUUUCUUGAUUCUAUUGGGUGGUGGUGCAUUGGCCGUUCUUAGUUGGUGGAGUGCGAUUGUCUGUUUUAAUUCCGUUAACGGACCGAAGACCAUCAGCCUGCUAACUAGCUAUGUGAUCGGAGGUGUGACCCCGUAUCCGCGGCCCAGCUUCUUAGAGGGACUAUGGCCUUUUAGGCCAAGGAAGUUUGAGAGCAGAUUAACAGGCUCUGUGAUGCCCUAGAUGUUCUGGGGCCGCACGCGGGGCGCUACGAGCUGAUGUAAUUCAACGAGUCUAUAGCCCUCUUGGCCCGACAGGCCCGGGUUAAUUCUUUGAAAUUUCCAUCGUGAUGGGGAUUAAGAUCAUUGCAAUUGUUGGUCUUCACGAGGAACUUCCUAGUAAGGCGCGAAGUCAUCAGCUCGCGUUGACUACGUCCCUGCCCUUUGUACACAUGACCGCCCGUCGCUCCUAACCGACUUGAAAUGGCCGGUGAAGUGUCGGAUCCGCGGCGACGUGGGCCGGUUGUCGCACGCCGGCGGACGUCGGGCGAGAAAGUCCACUGAACCUUAUCAUUUAGAGGAAGGAGAAGUCGUAACAAGGUUUCCGUAGGUGAACCUGCGGAAG